AUUGAACGCUGGCGGAAUGCUUUACACAUGCAAGUCGAACGGCAGCACGGACUUCGGUCUGGUGGCGAGUGGCGAACGGGUGAGUAAUGUAUCGGAACGUGCCCAGUCGUGGGGGAUAACGUAGUGAAAAUUACGCUAAUACCGCAUACGAUCUAUGGAUGAAAGCGGGGGAUCGCAAGACCUCGCGCGAUUGGAGCGGCCGAUAUCAGAUUAGGUAGUUGGUGGGGUAAAGGCCCACCAAGCCAACGAUCUGUAGCUGGUCUGAGAGGACGACCAGCCACACUGGAACUGAGACACGGUCCAGACUCCUACGGGAGGCAGCAGUGGGGAAUUUUGGACAAUGGGCGAAAGCCUGAUCCAGCCAUUCCGCGUGCAGGAUGAAGGCCCUCGGGUUGUAAACUGCUUUAGCAAGGGAAGAAAAAGCUCAUGCGUGAGAAAUUGACGGUACCUUGAGAAUAAGCACCGGCUGACUACGUGCCAGCCGCCGCCGUAA
rnacentral:rRNA from 1 species